rnacentral:rRNA from 1 species
UGGGGAAUAUUGGGCAAUGGGCGCAAGCCUGACCCAGCCAUGCCGCGUGAGUGACGAAGGCCUUAGGGUUGUAAAGCUCUUUUGGCGGGGACGAUAAUGACGGUACCCGCAGAAUAAGCCCCGGCUAACUUCGUGCCAGCAGCCGCGGUAAUACGAAGGGGGCUAGCGUUGUUCGGAAUCACAGGGCGUAAAGCGCACGUAGGCGGACUUUCAAGUCAGGGGUGAAAUCCCGGGGCUCAACCUCGGAACUGCCUUUGAUACUGUUGGUCUCGAGUCCGGAAGAGGUGGGUGGAAUUCCUAGUGUAGAGGUGAAAUUCGUAGAUAUUAGGAAGAACACCGGUGGCGAAGGCGGCCCACUGGUCCGGUACUGACGCUGAGGUGCGAAAGCGUGGGGAGCAAACA